rnacentral:rRNA from 1 species
ACGGGAGGCAGCAGUGGGGGAUAUUGCACAAUGGGGGAAACCCUGAUGCAGCGACGUCGAGUGAGCGAUGAAGUAUUUCGGUAUGUAGAGCUCUAUCAGCAGGGAAGAAAAUGACGGUACCUGACUAAGAAGCUCCGGCUAAAUACGUGCCAGCAGCCGCGGUAAUACGUAUGGAGCAAGCGUUAUCCGGAUUUACUGGGUGUAAAGGGAGCGUAGACGGUUUGCCAAGUCUGAUGUGAAAGGUGGGGGCUCAACCCCCAAACUGCAUUGGAAACUGGUAGACUAGAGUGUCGGAGAGGUAAGUGGAAUUCCUAGUGUAGCGGUGAAAUGCGUAGAUAUUAGGAGGAACACCAGUGGCGAAGGCGGCUUACUGGACGAUAACUGACGUUGAGGCUCGAAAGCGUGGGGAGCAAACAGGAUUAGAUACCCUGGUA